rnacentral:rRNA from 1 species
GUGGGGAAUAUUGGACAAUGGGCGAAAGCCUGACGCAGCCAUGCCGCGUGAAUGAUGAAGGUCUUAGGAUUGUAAAAUUCUUUCACCGGGGACGAUAAUGACGGUACCCGGAGAAGAAGCUCCGGCUAACUUCGUGCCAGCAGCCGCGGUAAUACGAAGGGGGCUAGCGUUGCUCGGAAUUACUGGGCGUAAAGGGCGCGUAGGCGGACAGCUUAGUCAGAGGUGAAAGCCCAGGGCUCAACCUUGGAAUUGCCUUUGAUACUGGCUAUCUUGAGUAUGGAAGAGGUAUGUGGAACUCCGAGUGUAGAGGUGAAAUUCGUAGAUAUUCGGAAGAACACCAGUGGCGAAGGCGACAUACUGGUCCAUUACUGACGCUGAGGCUCGAAAGCGUGGGGAGCAAACAGGAUUAGAAACCCUUGUAGUCC